rnacentral:rRNA from 1 species
UACGUAGGUGGCGAGCGUUGUCCGGAUUUACUGGGCGUAAAGAGUGCGCAGGCGGUCGUUCAAGUCGCGUGUGAAAGCCCCCGGCUCAACUGGGGAGGGUCACGCGAUACUGAUCGACUCGAAGGCAGGAGAGGGAAGUGGAAUUCCCGGUGUAGUGAUGAAAUGCGUAGAUAUCGGGAGGAACACCAGUGGCGAAGGCGACUUCCUGGCCUGUUCUUGACGCUGAGGCGCGAAAGCUAGGGGAGCAAACGGG